UACGUAGGGGGCAAGCGUUGUCCGGACUUACUGGGCGUAAAGAGCGUGUAGGCGGCCUGAAAGGUCAGCUGUGAAAACUCGAGGCUCAACCUCGAGACGUCGGUUGAAACCAUCUGGCUAGAGUCCGGAAGAGGAGAGUGGAAUUCCCGGUGUAGCGGUGAAAUGCGCAGAUAUCGGGAAGAACACCCGUGGCGAAGGCGGCUCUCUGGGACGGUACUGACGCUGAGACGCGAAAGCGUGGGGAGCGAACAGG
rnacentral:rRNA from 1 species